UACGUAGGGGGCAAGCGUUGUCCGGAUUUAUUGGGCGUAAAGAGCGUGUAGGCGGCCAGAUAGGUCCGUUGUGAAAACUGGAGGCUUAACCUCCAGCAGUCGAUGGAAACCAUUUGGCUAGAGUCCGGAAGAGGAGAGUGGAAUUCCUGGUGUAGCGGUGAAAUGCGCAGAUAUCAGGAAGAACACCCGUGGCGAAGGCGGCUCUCUGGGACGGUACUGACGCUGAGACGCGAAAGCGUGGGGAGCGAACAGG
rnacentral:rRNA from 1 species